rnacentral:lncRNA from 10 species
AGGCUGGCGCGCAUGCUCAGGCGGGGAUGUGUGCGAAGCCUGCCGCUGCUGCAGCGAGUCUGGCGCAGAGUGGAGCGGCCGCCGGAGAUGCCUGACGCAUCUGUCUGAGGAGCGGUCAGUGACGCGAUGGAGCGGGCAAGGAGACAGGGUCUGGCUAUGUUGCCCAGGUUGGAGUGCAGUGAUGCAGUUAUAGCUCCCUGUAACCUCAAACUCCUGGAUCAAUCUAGACUCCUGCCUCAGCCUCCCAAGUGCCUGUUAGUACAGGCUUGAGGCAUUAUGGCUCCUCCACCUGGUAUGAGACCACCCAUGGGCCCACCAAUUGGGCUUCCCCCUGCUCGAGGGACGCCAAUAGGCAUGCCGCCUCCGGGAAUGAGACCCCCUCCACCAGGCAUUAGAGGUCCACCUCCCCCAGGAAUGCGUCCACCAAGACCUUAGCAUACUGUUGAUCCAUCUCAGUCACUUUUUCCCCUGCAAUGCGUCUUGUGAAAUUGUGUAGAGUGUUUGUGAGCUUUUUGUUCCCUCAUUCUGCAUUAAUAAUAGCUAAUAAUAAAUGCAUAGAGCAAUUAAACUGUG